rnacentral:rRNA from 1 species
GGACACUUCCGUGCCAGCAGCCGCGGUAAUACGGAGGGUCCAAGCUUUAAUCGGAAUUACUGGGCGUAAAGCGCACCCAGGCGGUUUGUUAAGUCAGAUGUGAAAUCCCCGGGCUCAACCUGGGAACUGCAUCUGAUACUGGCAAGCUUGAGUCUCGUAGAGGGGGGUAGAAUUCCAGGUGUAGCGGUGAAAUGCGUAGAGAUCUGGAGGAAUACCGGUGGCGAAGGCGGCCCCCUGGACGAAGACUGACGCUCAGGUGCGAAAGCGUGGGGAGCAAACAGGAUUAGAUACCCUGGUAGUCCACGCCGUAAACGAUGUCGACUGGAGGUUGUGCCCUUG